GGUCAAGCUACAAAGGGCUCACGGUGGAUACCUUGGCACACAGAGGCGAUGAAGGACGUGGUUACCUGCGAUAAGUCUCGGGGAGCUGGAAACACGCUUUGAUCCGGGAAUUUCCGAAUGGGGCAACCCCUAGAACGGCCAGCUGAAUCCAUAGGCUGGUGCGAGCCAACCCAGCGAACUGAAACAUCUUAGUAGCUGGAGGAAAGGAAAGUAAAAACGACUCCCUA
rnacentral:rRNA from 1 species